GCCUCCAAACCUGUAUUCAACAAGUUAGACAUAGAAUCAUUGAGAGCACACAUUUGCAAGUUAGAUAAUCCGGCAUGUGAAUUUCCGGGUCGGUUUCUUUCAUCUUCACUAUCCAUGGCUACCUGAAAACUUAAACAAGGUAAAGUUAGAUUAAAAACCUCACACACUCAGGUGUUUAUCCUUGCCCACACACGUGUUUCACUCAAUUUGGUAGUCACACAAGAGAGUUUCCCUCAAAGUUCUAAGAGAACAAACUAGAUAACCCAAAAUGAGAAUCCCAAGUGAAACACCCAAGAGACAAGAUAGAAAGAUAAGAGAUUUAACAAGGGGAAUCUGUAUUAACCACCUCCAAGGCCGGGUUUCUCCUCGGCCAGCAGGCUUACUCUUCCACCACCAAACCACAAUUGAAAAAUUUUGAUAUAUUUUCUUUCUUUUUUUUUUUUUUUUUUGAUUUGAUCUAUCUUUCUUUUAUUUUAAUAUAUAUGGAUGGUAAAGCGUGGCCCGGAUUCAAAGAUAGAUAGAAGAAGAAUUUCUUUUUUUUUUUCUGAAGAAAAUGAUAGAUGAGAAAGAUGGAAUGAAAAGAGAUACCGGAAGAGUGGCUCUGAUACCACUUGAAGAACCCUAAGGAACGAACACUCAACCGGAUCUGAUGAUAUGAACUCGAUCUGAAGAGAUAGAGAACUGAUGGAUUCUUUAGUGACACAAGGGGAUGCGGAAGACCCAAUGAUACUACUAGAACUCUCAAUGGCCGCUUGAUUUGACACACAAGUCCGGCUCAAAGAAAGGGGAUUCACUUGGAGAUAGCCUCACCAAGGGAACAAGAAUGUUCUAAUCAAAGAACAAAGAAAUAAAUCUCAAAAUGAAUAAGGAAAAUCGAUUAUCUUAUUUCAAGGAUGCGUUCUCUUACUUAUACAACUUGUAGUCAAAGAUAUUAAAUAAAAAUGUAUGAAAAAGAGACAUAGAAAAUAGAUAGAAGACCAGAUCUAGUCAAAGCACAGAAA
rnacentral:lncRNA from 1 species